UACGAAGGGGGCUAGCGUUGCUCGGAAUUACUGGGCGUAAAGGGCGCGUAGGCGGAUAGUUUAGUCAGAGGUGAAAGCCCCAGGGCUCAACCUUGGAAUUGCCUUUGAUACUGGCUAUCUUGAGUUCGGAAGAGGUAAGUGGAAUGCCGAGUGUAGAGGUGAAAUUCGUAGAUAUUCGGCGGAACACCAGUGGCGAAGGCGACUUACUGGUCCGAUACUGACGUGAGGCGCGAAAGCGUGGGGAGCAAACAGG
rnacentral:rRNA from 1 species